rnacentral:rRNA from 1 species
AAUGCAAGUCGAACGGUAAGGCGAGUCACUCUUCGGAGCGACUCGCACACGAGUGGCGCACGGGGGAGUAACACGUGGGUAAUCUGCCUUCGGGUUUGGGACAACUCCGGGAAACUGGAGCUAAUACCAAAUAAGACCACGAGGUCCUCGGACCCUGCGGAAAAAGGGGGCCUCUUCCUGAAAGCUAUCGCCUGUUGAUGAGCCCGCGUCCCAUUAGCUUUUUGGGGAGGUAAAAGCUCACCAAGGCAUCGAUGGGUAGCUGGUCUGAGAGGAUGAUCAGCCACACUGGAACUGAGACACGGUCCAGACUCCUACGGGAGGCAGCAGUCGGGAAUCUUGCACAAUGGGCGAAAGCCUGAUGCAGCAACGCCGCGUGAGGGAUGAAGGCCCUCGGGUCGUAAACCUCUGUCGGAAGGGAAGAAAGUAUUCCGGGCCAAUACCCCGGGAUAUUGACGGUACCUUCAAAGGAAGCGCCGGCUAACUCCGUGCCAGCAGCCGCGGUAAUACGGAGGGCGCGAGCGUUAUUCGGAAUCAUUGGGCGUAAAGCGCGUGUAGGCGGCUGGGCAAGUCGGAUGUGAAAGCCCGGGGCUCAACCCCGGAAUUGCAUUCGAAACUGCCCAGCUAGGAGUCUCGGAGAGGAGGGCGGAAUUCCCGGGGUAGAGGGGAAAUUCGUAGAUAUCGGGAGGAACACCAGUG